ACACCUACGGGUGGCAGCAGUGGGGAAUCUUGCACAAUGCGCGAAAGCGUGAUGCAGCAACGCCGCGUGCGGGAAGACGGCCUUCGGGUUGUAAACCGCUUUCAGUUGGGACGAAGCCGGUGCGGUUAAUAGCCGUUGCGGGUGACGGUACCUUCAGAAGAAGCCCCGGCUAACUACGUGCCAGCAGCCGCGGUAAUACGUAGGGGGCAAGCGUUGUCCGGAAUCAUUGGGCGUAAAGCGCGUGUAGGCGGCUCAGUAAGUCCGCUCUGAAAGCCCGGGGCUCAACCCCGGGAGGCGGGUGGAUACUGCUGAGCUCGAGUCCGGAAGAGGAGUGUGGAAUUCCUGGUGUAGCGGUGAAAUGC
rnacentral:rRNA from 1 species